AAAUGUUCUCGGGGCGGGGUGUAAUUCCCCACCGGCGGUAUCAGGAGCAAUCCUGGAGCCCGCGAGCGCUUCCGGCACCUCCUGUCGGAAGGUCAGCAGAUCCGGUGAGAUGCCGGAGCCGACGGUAUAGUCCGGAUGGAAGAGGACAACA
rnacentral:ncRNA from 2 species